CGGAACCGAAUUUCGGACAACAGCUCUAUGCACCUUAAAGUUGCUUGCGAUCCGCCAUAAUAGAAAAGAAGAAGAAACAAAUCAAUCUGACUUAAAGUGAAGUUCUAUGGCUGUCGGGUUUUAAUCCUCCAUCUUAAAGACAUUUGUCAUGAUGAUCGCUGCCUUGAUUAUCUCGGUUCUUUUCCUUACAUGUGGAUCUGCAUCAACAGAAACAGCAGCAACAUUUGUAGUGAAUGUGGCACAGAGCAGCUAUCAGGCAGAGGAGAAGCAGAGCAUCACUCUGGAGUGGACCUUCACCACCAAGACUCAGGGAACCCACAGGGAACUGUUCAUCGUCUGCAGCUUGUUGGCUCCUGAUAAACCGCGAGUUCUCUAUCAGGUUCAUGAAGGAGUUGAGAUUCCAGAGUCUCAGGAUGAUCAGUUUUCAGGACGAGUCCAGAGCGACAAAGACGUCCUCAGUGAAGGACGAAUCAGACUCCAUGUGUCCAGACUGAGGACUGAAGACUCUGGUCUGUAUCUGUGUGACGUGAAAACUGAAGAUGGAUUCAACUCUGGAAGAUGUCGACUCAACGUUACUGUUCCAGUGAAGGUUGUUGGUCAUGAUCCGAUUCAUGCAAAGGUUGGAGACGACGUCAUUCUGCCAUGUCAUCUGAAGCCUCCAUUUGACGUGAGCAAACUUACAAUGGAAUGGAGAUUCAAGGGUCAAAGAAUCCAUGUGCAAAGCAGUCGAAUUAAAGAUUAUGAAAUUUUAGAUCCAAAGUACAUUAACCGAACCUUCAUGUUCCCUGAUGAGUUUAAAAAAGGCAACAUUUCCCUCAAAUUGACCAAAGUCACCAAGGAGGAUGAAGGGAAUUAUAUUUGCUUUGUUCCCAAACUGCAAAGUCAAGCCAGGAAGGAAACGUUACUCUAAUACUUGAUGAAAAUGGAUCCCAACGCGACUCGACUGAUCCUGGAGGAACUGAUCCUGGAGUUAUUGCUGGUGUUGUUGUUGCACUCAUCUUCUUCUUCACCGUCAUCAUCAUCGUCGUCAUCAUAAUCAAGCGAUCUCAAAUCCAGCGUGUUCUACGUCACUACAGAGGUGAACAAAAUCAUAGAGAAAAUGUCAAUCUAGACGAUGAAGCUGAAGGAAAACCUUUACAGGAUCAAGGAAAACAAAACCAAAGUGAAUCUUCCACCUGAUCUAAAGUCUAUUCAAAGUUUGUUGAAAAGGAGACCAGAACCAGAGAGACGAGGAAGGAGCAUCAUCAUCAUCAUCAUCAUCAUCACUGUGGGACUGACAGUAACUUUAAUGGUUCUAAUGAUAAUAUUGAUGUUUUGGUUUAGAAAGAAAAGGAGAAGAAACCAAACUUUUUGACAAAGAACAUUUUUGUUUGAACUUGUUUUGUUUGACAUAUUAUAUUUUAAUAAUGACUUUGAGUCGUUUAUUGAAUAUCUUCAGAUUCAUGUUUUAAAUCAUUUCUGGUCUAUAACCAGAAACAAUGAUCUGUUUUUCUGUUACUCAGAUGAAACCAGUGGUGACAACAGUGUUAGGAGUUUGUCCUGAAAUUAGCAUGUUGCUGGUUUAAAUCUGCCUCUUUCUUAGUGCCUUUGAGCAAGGCACUUCCCCUGCCUUACCUGCCAGUGGCAUCACCCGCAGCAGCUGCUGCCAAAUUGCUGCAGGGCAGCAGAGGCUGUUAUCCAGUAUUGGUCACCAUCAGUGUAUGAAUGGAUGAGUAUGAAUGGAUGAAUGACUGAAUGCAGAGUAAAGCAUUUUGGAUUCAACUGUACUUGAAACAGAACCUUAAAAGUACAAGCCAUAUUUAAUGUUUUAUGGAAAUAGUAAAUUAGAGCUCUAAUUUAUUUAAACAUUCUCGUUAUCAGUGUUGUAUAGAAACAAAGUAAAUAUACUUCACUACGUAAGUAUAUUUUGGAGUACUUCAUACUUUCCUCGAGUAUGAAAAUUUUUGAUAACUUUCACUUUUACUUCACUACAUUUCAGAACUUAAUUGCUCCUCUUCAUUUUCAAUGUGUGGUUUAGUUACUCGUUACAAAAAAGUGAGAGAGAGAAACAAAUGUUUAGACCCAACCUACUGAUCGACUGCAACAAAGUCGGUAGCCGAUUUGCCUGAGUUUGUUCAUCUCCACCAAUAGAUGCACAUGUUUCACUUCUCCCAUUAAUCACCAAGUUUACUAAAAGCUCUCCCUCUUCAGAUGCCAAAUAAGCUGCAUUUCCCUCCCAAUUCUUUUUUCUUUUGCAUAAUGACCAGUUGAUGCACCUAUAGUUUGUGAAGUAGAGGAAUCGUAACGGCUUUUUUUUCUUCAUGUUGGCCGCAUUUUCUGUGCUAUUUAUUUUUCUCAUUUUCAGCACUGAUCUUACUGAAAGAAAAACUUAAGGCUUACAAAAACCUUGUAUUUUCUGUCCUUCUUGUACUAAGAAGCUGAUUCAUAGUGAUGAGUCUGACGACACUGAAACCUCCGCGCAUGCGCCGAGCAAACAAGGCGAAGCCCCGUGUCGGUGCGCGUAUCUCUUUAAGGAAAACCACGUGACCGAUACAAUUCCUGUGUCGUUUGGUUGUGAAGGCGCCAAAUUGUAUUUAUGAACAGAAAAUGUAUCGACAUGUUGGUGGGUUUUGUUGGAUGGAGAUAGUUUGUGUUGUUUGGCUUGUCAGUGAAAACUAUGAUCAAUCGAGGAAGAGAAAGUUUUCUCCCGUUUGAUCAUUUUGAUCUUAUCACGGAGGAUAAGGUCAAUUAUUAUUCCGUUCUCGUUUCCACUAUUGAUCAUUCUUCUGUCGGAUUAUUCCAAUUUCUUUCUGAAGAAUACUUUAAUUAGUUUACAUGGAUUAACUUUUAUUUCUAUUGUAGGUGA